rnacentral:lncRNA from 1 species
CCAUUAUAUAAUGUAUAUUUACUUACUCAUAUACAUAAUUCACAUAAUCAUAACAUAUUUCACUUCUCACACUAAUUUUGACUUUUCUCCAUAAAAGUCAACUGUUGACUUUGACCAAAAGUCAACCUUUACACAUUUUGUGCUUAUUGUCCAUUCUGACUAAAUUCGACGUUCUGGACGCAACCGAGCAGUCCAUGCUUCAAAAUUCUAUCUCUAACUCAAAUUUUGAGUUUUAAAUUACUCCAUUCUCAUUACUAAUCGUAUUAACUAACGACUUUAUACUUAUUCAAAUUCUUAUUUGUCAGUCAAGGCCAACACUCAAGCUAUGUUAAUUACUAACAUAGUUUUAUCUUGAUCCUCAUAUCAUUAACUUAAUUCAUCAUUCCUCUUGCUAAAAUAUAUAUAGCACUUUACUAAGUAUAUAUAUUUCUAUACAUAUACUCAUCUUCGUUUAACCUCAUAGCAUCUCUUCAUGUGAAAUCUUAUUUCCAAUAAUAAAAUUUCCAUAUGUACUUAUAUAACAUUUCUUAGACU